rnacentral:rRNA from 1 species
ACUCAAAUGAAUAGACGGGGACCCGCACAAGCGGUGGAACAUGUGGUUUAAUUCGAGGCAACGCGAAGAACCUUACCAGGAUUUGACAUGCUCUCUAUGUGCCCCCGAAAAGGGGCUCUUCAGUUCGGCUGGGAGAUGCACAGGUGCUGCAUGGCUGUCGUCAGCUCGUGUCGUGAGAUGUUGGGUUAAGUCCCGCAACGAGCGCAACCCUCGUCCUCUGUUGCUAACAGGUUAAGCUGAGCACUCUGAGGAAACUGCCGGUGAUAAGCCGGAGGAAGGUGGGGAUGACGUCAAGUCCUCAUGGCCCUUACAUCCUGGGCUACACACGUGUUACAAUGGUGGUGACAAUGGGCAGCGAUCCCGCGAGGGCUAGCAAAUCCCCAAAAGCCACCUCAGUUCAGAUUGCACUCUGCAACUCGAGUGCAUGAAGCUGGAAUCGCUAGUAAUCGUGGAUCAGCACGCCACGGUGAAUACGUUCCCGGGUCUUGCACACACCGCCCGU